UACAGAGGUCUCAAGCGUUGUUCGGAAUCACUGGGCGUAAAGGGUGCGUAGGUGGCGUGGUAAGUCAGAUGUGAAAGCCCGGGGCUCAACCUCGGAAUUGCAUCCGAUACUACCAUGCUAGAGUACUGAAGAGGUGACUAGAAUUACUCGGUGUAGCAGUGAAAUGCGUAGAUAUCGAGAGGAAUACCAAAGGCGAAGGCAGGUCACUGGGCAGUUACUGACACUGAGGCACGAAGGCUAGGGGAGCAAACGGG
rnacentral:rRNA from 1 species